rnacentral:lncRNA from 1 species
GACGUUCCAUUCGGUGUUCUACUCUCUGGUGGCCUAGACUCAUCAUUGGUUGCAGCCGUUACAGUUCGUCACCUGGCAGGGACAAAGGCUGCAAAGCGCUGGGGGACUAAGCUUCAUUCUUUUUGUGUCGGACUUGAGGUAUGGAACUGAAAAAGAUCAACAAUGACUGUAACCUUUAGCAGAUUUCCAACAAAUUGCACCACAAUAUUAUUACGCAGGGGUCACCUGAUCUGAAGGCCGCAAAGGAGGUAGCCAAUUACCUGGGGACCAUGCACCAUGAGUUCACCUUCACUGUUCAGGUAGCAAGCAUGAGCAGCCGCAUGCUUCAUCUGUUGACCAUACCAGACUAGUUGUUGUACUAACAGCACAAAGCAUUGCAGGACGGCAUUGAUGCAAUUGAGGAUGUGAUUUAUCACACCGAAACAUAUGAUGUGACGACAAUCAGGGCAAGCACGCCAAUGUUCCUGAUGUCACGCAAGAUCAAGUCACUUGGCGUCAAGAUGGUCAUCUCUGGUGAGGGUUCCGAUGAGAUUUUCGGAGGGUACCUCUACUUCCACAAGGCACCCAACAAAGAGGAGCUCCACCGUGAGACAUGUCAAAAGGUGAAUAAGAAAGAAAUUUUCAGAAAAAUGGCAGAUUCAGACACCCUGACAUAAUGAUUACACUGUAGAU